AAGUCGUAACAAGGUAACCGUAGGUGAACCUGCGGUUGGAUCAUUACUAAAUACUUUGACCUGAGGUUGAGCUCAAUUCAUUGAGAUCCCUCAGUGUCAUAAACAUUUUGUGCAUCUAUUGUGUAUUUGGGUUAUCUCUAUCUUUUUCUUUUUGUUAACACAAAAAGAGUUGAAGUGAAAAGAUAACCCAACAAUGAAAAUAAACCAUUAUUCUUUUUUUUUGACUGAAAUAAAUUGAAAAAUUUAUAAACAACUUUUGACAACGGAUCUCUUGGCUCUC
rnacentral:misc_RNA from 1 species